UACGUAGGGUGCGAGCGUUGUCCGGAAUUAUUGGGCGUAAAGAGCUUGAUAGGCGGUUUGUCGCGUCUGCUGUGAAAAUCCGGGGCUCAACCCCGGACUUGCAGUGGGUACGGGCAGACUAGAGUGUGGUAGGGGAGACUGGAAUUCCUGGUGUAGCGGUGAAAUGCGCAGAUAUCAGGAGGAACACCGAUGGCGAAGGCAGGUCUCGUGGGCCACUACUGACGCUGAGAAGCGGAAAGCAUGGGGAGCGAACAGGAUUAGACGUACCC
rnacentral:rRNA from 1 species